rnacentral:misc_RNA from 1 species
GAUGAAGAACGUAGCGAAAUGCGAUAAGUAAUGUGAAUUGCAGAAUUCAGUGAAUCAUCGAAUCUUUGAACGCACAUUGCGCCCGCCAGUAUUCUGGCGGGCAUGCCUGUCCGAGCGUCAUUUCAACCCUCGAACCCCUCCGGGGGGUCGGCGUUGGGGAUCGGCACUUACCUGCCGGCCCCGAAAUACAGUGGCGGUCUCGCCGCAGCCUCUCCUGCGCAGUAGUUUGCACACUCGCACCGGGAGCGCGGCGCGUCCACGGCCGUAAAACAACCCAAACUUCUGAAAUGUUGACCUCGGAUCAGGUAGGAAUACCCGCUGAACUUAAGCAUAUCAAAGCGGAGGA